rnacentral:rRNA from 1 species
GACGAACGCUGGCGGCGUGCUUAACACAUGCAAGUCGAACGAAGUGGCGAACGGGUGAGUAACGCGUAAUCAACCUGCCCUUCAGAGGGGGACAACAGUUGGAAACGACUGCUAAUACCGCAUACUGAAGGAGGGGAUUGCGUCUGAUUAGCUGGUUGGAGGGGUAACGGCCCACCAAGGCGAUGAUCAGUAUCCGGGUCUGAAGGGAGAACGGCCAACAUGGGAAUGAGACACGGCCCAGACUCCUACGGGAGGCAGCAGUGGGGAAUCUUCCGCAAUUGACGAAAGUCCUGCGGAGCAACGGCGGGUGAGUGAAGACGGCCUUCGGGUUGUAAAGCUCUGUUAAGCGGGACGCGGUACCGGAAUAGAAAGCCACGGCUAACUACGUGCCAGCAGCCGCGGUAAUAC